rnacentral:rRNA from 1 species
AGUGAACGCUGGCGGUAGGCCUAACACAUGCAAGUCGAACGGCAGCACAGUAAGAGCUUGCUCUUACGGGUGGCGAGUGGCGGACGGGUGAGGAAUACAUCGGAAUCUACUUUUUCGUGGGGGAUAACGUAGGGAAACUUACGCUAAUACCGCAUGCGACCUACGGGUGAAAGCAGGGGAUCUUCGGACCUUGCGCGAUUGAAUGAGCCGAUGUCGGAUUAGCUAGUUGGCGGGGUAAAGGCCCACCAAGGCGACGAUCCGUAGCUGGUCUGAGAGGAUGAUCAGCCACACUGGAACUGAGACACGGUCCAGACUCCUACGGGAGGCAGCAGUGGGGAAUAUUGGACAAUGGGCGCAAGCCUGAUACAGCAAUACCGCGUGGGUGAAGAAGGACUUCGGGUUGUAAAGCCCUUUUGUUGGGAAAGAAAAGCAGCAGGUUAAUACCCCGCUGUUCUGACGGUACCAAAAGAAUAAGCACCGGCUAACUUCGUG